rnacentral:rRNA from 1 species
GACGAACGCUGGCGGCGUGCCUAACACAUGCAAGUCGAACGGAGUUAAUGCUUCGGUGUUAACUUAGUGGCGAACGGGUGAGUAACGCGUGAGGAACCUGCCUUUCAGUGGGGGACAACAGUUGGAAACGACUGCUAAUACCGCAUAAUGUAUCGAGAGGGCAUCCUCUUGAUAUCAAAGCUUUAUGUGCUGAAAGAUGGUCUCGCGUCUGAUUAGCUAGUUGGUGAGGUAACGGCUCACCAAGGCGACGAUCAGUAGCCGGCCUGAGAGGGUGAACGGCCACAUUGGGACUGAGACACGGCCCAAACUCCUACGGGAGGCAGCAGUGGGGAAUAUUGGGCAAUGGGGGAAACCCUGACCCAGCAACGCCGCGUGAAGGAAGAAGGCCUUCGGGUUGGUAAACUUACUUUACCUAGGACGAAGAAAGUAGACGGUACCUGGAGAAAAGACAACGGCUAACUACGUAG